rnacentral:rRNA from 1 species
GAUGAACGCUGGCGGCGUGCCUAAUACAUGCAAGUCGAGCGAACGGACGAGAAGCUUGCUUCUCUGGUGUUAGCGGCGGACGGGUGAGUAACACGUGGAUAACCUACCUAUAAGACUGGGAUAACUUCGGGAAACCGGAGCUAAUACCGGAUAAUAUUUUGAACCGCAUGGUUCAAAAGUGAAAGACGGUCUUGCUGUCACUUAUAGAUGGAUCCGCGCUGCAUUAGCUAGUUGGUAAGGUAACGGCUUACCAAGGCAACGAUGCAUAGCCGACCUGAGAGGGUGAUCGGCCACACUGGAACUGAGACACGGUCCAGACUCCUACGGGAGGCAGCAGUAGGGAAUCUUCCGCAAUGGGCGAAAGCCUGACGGAGCAACGCCGCGUGAGUGAUGAAGGUCUUCGGAUCAUAAAACUCUGUUAUUAGGGAAGAACAUAUGUGUAAGUAACUGUGCACAUCUUGACGGUACCUAAUCAGAAAGCCACGGCUAACUACGUG